GUGCUUGCUGAGGUAGCACAUUUACUAAUAUUGAAAUGACACACAGAUGAUUAGCAUAGGCCCUAUGCAAGAAUGACCCAGAAGCUAUAAAACACCACACACAUGCAC